rnacentral:rRNA from 1 species
CAGCCGUAAACUAUGCGCGUUAGGUGUAUCGGUGACCACGAGUUACCGAGGUGCCGAAGGGAAACCGUGAAACGUGCCGCCUGGGAAGUACGGUCGCAAGGCUGAAACUUAAAGGAAUUGGCGGGGGAGCACCACAACAGGUGGAGCCUGCGGUUUAAUUGGACUCAACGCCGGGAAGCUCACCGGAUAGGACAGCAGAAUGAUUGCCGGGCUGAAGACUCUACUUGAUGAUCUGAGAGGAGGUGCAUGGCGUCAGUGACU